rnacentral:sRNA from 1 species
AGUCUGACGCUCUCCCAACUGAGCUAUCCCCGCUUGAUGCUU